UCAGGGGUCUUGCCUUUGAUCAUGUCAGCCACUGUCUGGCAUGUCAGGUCCAACAAGCUCUUGAUGUUCAGAUAGUUUGCGGACUAAUCAGACACAAAUUCAUACAUGCGUCAGACCCAGUAACAACUAAUUUGAACAGCUUUGUUAACAAAAAAAGUUGGCCAUGCCGCAUUAUGUUCACCAUUUGUAAAAACAGAAAACCCUUACAAUCAAGACCUUGGCAUAUUAAAUGAACACUUAGGUUUCUCCAAAGUCAAGACCCUGCCCAGGCUGGGAAUCAACAAUUACCUUCAUAUUGGAAGCCCCACCACUGUGUUAGUCCCUCCCACACAAAGUUGAGCAGUAGCGUGGGUGCAGGACAAGCACAAGUUUCCUAUUUCUAUACUAAAUGCGAGAUUUCCGCAUUAAUUCCUCACCAACAAAAAGAUUGCACAUGGUUCUCCUUCUCCAAUUAUCUUUAAUGAUCAAUGAUUCAAUAAUAUAAUCCUAGAUGAUGCAGGGCACAGCACAUGCCACUUAACUAGCUUGAACGUCAAACUACAUGAUGUUUAAUAGCACAAAAAUAUUCAUACGCCAGCCUCAAAGGCUAAAACAACAAUUAGGGAAAAAAAAAUUAAGAAAGCUUAGCACAUGGCGCAAGUAAGGCAUAUCAAAUGCAUCUCCACCAACUGAAGCUAGUUCCAUGGAUAAUUACACAAUCGCUAAAUUCAAUUUGAGAAAACAUUAACAAAUGUACACCCUAGAAAGACACUUCAUGUUGACAAUGCUACUAGAAGACUUCAACAUGUCUUUUAAAGGAGCAUUGUGCCAUUUCAAAGAUGAUACAUGACUCAAAUGCACUGUGAAAAGCAGUUAAUAGAGAUGGUAGUGCUCCUAAUAGCUCAUUGAAAUGUAAUAAUAUUGCAACUUCAAAGGUAUAAGUGUUUCCGUAAGGAGGAAAAAAACGAGGAUCUUUGGAAGUGCUUCUCACAGAGUUUUUCUCCACUUGAAAAAAGCAAGGAAUCUAACGUUUUAGUCAAUUCAAAUCAUCUCCCCAAAACUCAAAAGGGUUUCCUAUUGUAUAUAGGCCGGCCUGCGUGAUUUGAUUUACAAAGGCUACCAUGGGUGCACACACCAAAAGAAAGCAUCCAAUUCCACUCCUCGUGUACCGUCCAAUCCCUCUUAGCGUGACGUCCUGUAGCAAACAGAAUCCUAUUUGCCAAGCACAAAAGGGGGAAAAAAGGGAAAGCAAAAGAGAACAAGAACACAUGACACGCACAUCAAUCAACACAUCAAACUUCGCACGAACACGGCCUCGCACCGGACUAGUUCAAAUCGGAAUUGCAUCCCCAGUCCUUCUCUUUGCCACCCACAUUCGACAAAUUCAACGGAGAACCCUGAAUCCCUCAUCAAGACCACCCACUAACUUCCCGAUCUCAUGGAAAAAAAUCCGAUCUUUCGGCACAAACAAAAAAUCGGUCAAACAGAACAAGCGAAACCCUAAUCGCCGAAUCGCAAAACCUAGCCCCUCGACCAAACCCCCAAAAAUAAAAAUAAAAAGCCAACAAAACCUAAUUCGAGAACAACACGCCAAUCUCCUGCCAAACGAAGGCCCCCGAAAAAGAAAAAGAAGAAACUCAAAAAAAAAAAAGAAAAAGAAAAAGAAGAAGAAGGAACCCUAAAAAAGCAACAAGGGAAAGAUGGGGGAGGGAAUCAACAGACCAGGAUCAGGUCAAACAAGGUGGCCUGGUCGACCUUGACGAAAUCGACGUCCCAGGUCUUGAGUUCCUCGUCGUUGACGCGAUCCUCGGGCUUGGCGGACUCGACGUGCAUCUUGCAGUACUCGAUCACCUUGGCCAGGAUCUUGCUGUUCACGUUGGGCAGCGGGAUCGCGUUGUCGGCGCAGCCGUCCUCGAUCAUGUGCUUGAUCGUCUGCGACUCCACCGCCACCGACUGCUCCACAUCGAACGACUCCCCGUCGGAGCUCCGCAGCGUUAUCUUCCUCGACGUCGCCAUCUCUCGCCCUGCUUCCCCAAACGGAUUCCUCGCUGGCACCGGCAGAAGAUCGUCCUCCCUUCCCUCUCUGCACCAAGAAUCGGCGACCAGAUUUCGCUCUAGGCCCCUGUCGCUCUCUCUCUCUCUCUCUCUCUCUCUCUAUCUUCGAAAUCGAAUAUCGCGAGGAAAUCGAAAAAUCGAGUGCGGAAGAAGAAGCAAGAUAAGUGGGGGCCGGGCUUAAUAUAGAAGGAGGUCCCCCCGUCGAGUGCUGCGAGGGGGUAGCGGGUAGCGGGUAGCGUCCUGGAUCGGACCAUUGAGGGGUCGAAACGUGUCGCGAAAAAGUUCAUCGGGGCCGUACGUCUCUGACACGAAAAGGCGUAUAAUAGAUCCGUUCGCUAAAUUUUAUUUCCUUUUUUAUUUAGAUUUUUCGAUGCGUUUUUAUUUGCUGAUAAUAUUUUGUGCAGUUUCUUUUUCUUUUUCUUUUUCUUUUUUGAGAUUAAGCGUAGCUUUCUUUUCUUUUUUGGGUUUUCGGAUUUUGAAAAAGAAAACCCAAAUCAAAUCAAAACUCAAAGCUUCGACAAAGGAUAUCUGUUGCCGUCUUUUUAGAUUUUAUUUAGUUUCCCAUUAUGAGUUUUGAUGAGGUCACACAGGGUGGCCUGGUCGACCUUGACGAACUCGGCGUCCCAGGCCUUGAGGUCCUCGUCGUUGACGCGAUCCUCGGCCGUGGCGGACUCGACGUGCUUCUUGCAGUACUCGAUCACCAUGCCCAGGAUCUUGCUGUUCACGUUGGGCAGCGGGAUCGCGUCGUCAGUGCAGCAGUCCUCGAUCACGUGCUUGAUCACCUGCGACUCCUCCGCCACCGACUGCUCCACCUCGAACGACUCCCCGUCGGAGCUCCGCAGCGUUAUCUUCCUCGACGUCGCCAUCUCUCUCGCCCCGCUUCCCAAAAGGAUUCCUCGCCGGCACCGGCAGAAGAUCGUCCUCCCUUCCCCCCUCUGCGCGAAGAAUCGGCGAGCGGAUUUCGCUCUCAGCUCUGUCGCUUCUUCUCUCUCUCUCUCUCUUCUCGAAAUCGAAUCUCGCGAGGAAAUCGAAAAAUCGAGUGCGGUAGAAGGAUCGAGAGAAGUUGGGGCAGGGCUUAAUAUAGAAGGAGGUCCUUGGGAUCGAGUACUAAUAAUCAUUCGUGUGGUCACAAACUUUCGGUAUGAGCAAUGCAGAAAGCUAAUCAACAGAACGACACGGACGCUAAUUCUAUGUGCUACACCGGCUAUCGGAGAUCGAGCAAUAAAGAACGAACUACUUUACAAUGUCCUAAGGAGAAGUCCCUGGAGGUGACUAGGCAUCACCUCUACGUCGAUAAGGUGUUUAAAUGGGACAUAAAUCUAUUUUUGGACUCAUAUUUAAAUUAUAUGAGUUAGAGAUUUUUAAAAAUCCAACUAAAAAUGGAUCAAAAAAGUGAGUUUGAUUUAAAUGGAUCCAAAAUGAGUCAGAAUUUAUAAUCCAUUUUUGACUCAUUUAAAAUAUCAAGUGAGUUAGAACUUUGGAAUUCAUUUCUAAAUUUCCAACCCAACUCCACACAAUAUUUCCCUCUUUAACUUUAUAAAAAAAUUAUAAAAAAUCCAAAUUAUAAUUACUUUUCAUAUUUCAAUUUUCUUUUCUUUUUUCUUUCUUUUUCCUCCAUCCUUAGCCAGUGGCCAACACGGCAACGGCCAGGCCAAGCUCGAGCCUCUCCCAAUCUGGUGAGACUUGAGCUCAUCGAUAUCGAGUGGGGCCUCGGUCACACCGGAUCGGCAAGAUCGAGCCUCUACCUCACCAAUGAAGACCUCGCUAGAUCGACAAGAUCAGACCUCGCUCAAUGCUAGUGGGGCCUCAGCCUCAGCAACACUCCAGCUCGUCAGCGUUGGGCGAGCUCGAGUCUCGCCAAAUCUGGCGAUACGGGUCGAGUCGGGUAUGAAUUGGGUAUGGAUCGGAUCAUGUACAGAUUAUUAAAUUUAUACUACAUGAAUAUGAGUCAAACUAAGUUAAAUGGGUCAAAUAUGGGUCAACCCAUUUUUGACCCAAUCCAAACCCAAAUGAACCACCCAUUUGACGAGUCUAAUGUCAAUGUUCCCUAGGCAUCCGAUUAUUGUGAGGGAGGAGGAUCAUUCUAUGUGAGGCCCGGAUCAAACCAUUAUGGGGUCGAAACGUGUCGGGAAGUUUAUUGGGGCCAUACGUCGGUGAUGCGAAAAAAGUGUAUAUCCAAUCCGGAAAUUCAAUUCGAUACGGGCUUGAAGUUUCGAAAAAGGAAGAUAGACCUUUUGCUAAAUUAUAUUUCCUUUUCUAUAUAGUUUUUGAUGCGUUUUUAUUUAUUGAUAAUCUUUUGUGCAUUUCCUUUUUCUUUUUCUUUUUUAAAGAGAUUUAGUGUAGCUUUCUUUUCUUUUUGGGGUAUCAGGAUUUUGAAAAAAAAAAUCCAAAUCAAAUCUAAACCUCAUGCCGAGAACUCAAAGUUUUGAUAAAGGAUAUCUGGCGCCAUCCUUUUAGAUUUUAUUUAAUUUUCCAUUAUGAGUUUUGAUGGAUUUUCCUUCCAUACACACAUCAUGCUAUACGCAUGAUGCACAUAUAUGGCCACGCCCAUCCGUGCCCAAAUCGACCAAUCCAGUCAAAAUGGAUCAUAGACCUAUUUCUUAACCCAUACUCGAUAAGUUGAGUUUAGUAAAUUGAUUAUCAAUGAGUUUAAAAUAGUAAAGCCCACAACAUCAUCGAGAAUAUUCAUAACUUAAAUAAACACCAAUACAUUUAUAUGAUUCUCUUUCUUCACUCCCCUCCCUCAUUCCGUGCUCACCUCAAUUUUGAUAUUAAUUUUUUAAUAUUAGUUAAAUAUAAAAAAUGAUUUAACAACAUAAAUCAAGUCAAGUAUGUGUUGGAUAUAGAUUGUUUCAGAUAUUAGUAGCAACAUUCAUAUGACAGGAUAAUCUUACUAACAUUAAAAGGGAACUGAAGUCCAAAAGCAGGAUCCAGCCAACCAACAAUGCCACCAUAACGAACCGCUAUCUACAUUCGUGAGCCAAGCAAAGUCAUAUACUAGAUGUUUCAACGACUAAAAGACUGACACAGCAAAAUAAAACACAAAUCAUCUCCAUAGGUUCAGGAGGAGACUUAAAAGACAUAUCAUUCAAAUGCCCACUGGUUCUCCCGCCGCACCUCUUCCUCCUCCUCUGGGGUGAAGUCAUUCCUGAUAGUGAAGGUCUUGCGUUUCUCCUCAGGGGUCUUGCCUUUGAUCAUGUCAGCCACUGUCUGGCAUGUCAGGUCCAACAAGCUCUUGAUGUUCAGAAAGUUUGCAGCCUGAUUAGACACAAAUUCAUACAUGCGUCAGACCGAGUAACAACUAAUUGGAACAGCUUAUUAACAAAAAAAAGUUGGCCAUGCCGCAUCACGUUCACCAUUUGUAAAAACAGAAAACCCUUACAAUCAAGACCUUGGCAUAUUAAAUGAACAACACUUAGGUUUCUCCAAAGUCAAAGACCCUGCCCAGGCGGGGAAUCCAUAAUUACCUUCAUAUUGGAAGCCCCACCACUGUGUUAGUCCCUCCCACACAAAGUUGAGCAGUAGCGUGGGUGCAGGACAAGCGCAAGUUUCCUAUUUCUAUGCCAAAUGCAAAAUUUCCGUAUUAAUUCCUCACCAACAAAAAGAUUGCACACGGUUCCCCUUCUCCAAUUAUCUUCAAUGAUCAAUGAUUCAAUAAUAUAAUCCUAGAUGAUGCAGGGCACAGCACAUGCCACUUAACUAGCUUGAACGUCAAACUACAUGAUGUUUACUAGCACAAAAAUAUUCAUCAUACGCCAGCCUCAAAGGCUAAAACAGCAAUUAGGGAAAAAAAAAUUAAGAAAGCUUAGCACAUGGUGCAAGUAAGGCAUAUCAAAUGCAUCUCCACCAACUGAAGCUAGUUCCAUGGAUAACUACACAAUCGCUAAAUUCAAUUUGAGAAAAUAUUAACAAAUGUACACCAUAGAAAGGCACUUCAUGUUGACGAUGCUACUAGAAGACUUCAACAUGUCGUUUAAAGGAGCAUUGUGCCAUUUCAAAGAUGAUAUAUGACUCAAAUGCACUGUGAAAAGCAGUUAAUAGAGAUGGUAGUGCUCCUAAUAGCUCAUUGAAAUGUAAUAAUAUUACAACUUCAAAGGUAGAAGUGUUCCCAUAAGGAAAAUAAAAACAGAGGAUCUUUGAAAGUGCUUCUCACAGAGAAUUUCCCCACUUGAAAAAAAGCAAAGAAUCGCAGAUUCUCCGGCCGACCGAAGACCCCCGAAAAAAAAAUGAAGCCAAAAAAAGCAACAAGGGAAAGAUGGGGAGGGAAUCAACCGACCCGGAUGAGGUCAAACAGGGUGGCCUGGUCGACCUUGACGAAAUCGGCGUCCCAGGCCACGAGGUCCUCGUCGUCGACGCGAUCCUCGGCCUUGGCGGACUCGACGUGCUU
rnacentral:lncRNA from 1 species